UACGGGGGGGGCAAGCGUUGUUCGGAAUUACUGGGCGUAAAGGGCGCGUAGGCGGCCUGCUAAGUCGGACGUGAAAUCCCUCGGCUCAACCGAGGAACUGCGUCCGAUACUGGCAGGCUUGAAUCCGGGAGAGGGAUGCGGAAUUCCAGGUGUAGCGGUGAAAUGCGUAGAUAUCUGGAGGAACACCGGUGGCGAAGGCGGCAUCCUGGACCGGCAUUGACGCUGAGGCGCGAAAGCCAGGGGAGCAAACGGG
rnacentral:rRNA from 1 species